GAACAUAGUUUCAAGAAAUCUUCAAGUUCCACAAAAGAUCUCAUUUCCAUCCCAGAUGGCCUUCUCUUACAGGAAGAACUCGGAGAAGGCAAUGGCACCUCACUCCAGUACUCUUGCCUGGAAAAUCCCAUGGAUGGAAGAGACUGGUAGGCUGCAGUCCAUGGGGUUGCUAAGAGUCAGACACGACUGAGCAACUUCCCUUUCACGUUUCACUUUCAUGCAUUGGAGAAGGAAAUGGCAACCCACUCCAGUCUUCUUGCUUGGAGAAUCCUAG
rnacentral:lncRNA from 1 species